UGUUAUGACUGAAUUUAGCAUGAAAAAAAGGACAAGAGCGCGCCCUUCCCGGAGUAAUUCCGAGGGCGCGGCCCUAAAGUGCGGGGUUGACUGAAGGCGCGUGGAGAAACGAGAAUGCGAGGACUUAGGGCGCGCCCUCCAUGGUCGCGCCCACAGGUAAUCUUAUUAUGUGUGAGGAUGAGUGAGUCUCGAUGACGACCCUUCCGAGGGAUA
rnacentral:lncRNA from 1 species